GGCCCCUUAACUCAGCGGUGAGAGUAAGCCCCUCAUAAGGGCGGAGUCGCCGGUUCGAAUCCGGCAGGGGCCACCA
rnacentral:tRNA from 1 species